GGUUAUGGCUCAGUGGUAGAGCGCUCACCUCAAAUGUGCAAGGCCCUGGGUUCGAGCCUCAGCACCA
rnacentral:tRNA from 1 species